UAAGUAGGCAGCGAGCGUUGUUCGGAAUUACUGGGCGUAAAGAGUGUGUAGGCGGUGCUCUAAGUUCGGUGUGAAAUCUCCUGGCUCAACUGGGAGGGUGCGCCGGAAACUGGAGUGCUUGAGCGUGGGAGAGGAAAGCGGAAUUCCUGGUGUAGCGGUGAAAUGCGUAGAUAUCAGGAGGAACACCUGUGGUGUAGACGGCUUUCUGGACCAUAGCUGACGCUGAGACACGAAAGCGUGGGUAGCAAACAGG
rnacentral:rRNA from 1 species